rnacentral:rRNA from 1 species
CAGUACCGUGAGGGAAAGGCGAAAAGAACCCCGGCGAGGGGAGUGAAAAAGAACCUGAAACCGUGUACGUACAAGCAGUGGGAGCACAGAGCAAUCUGUGUGACUGCGUACCUUUUGUAUAAUGGGUCAGCGACUUAUAUUCUGUAGCAAGGUUAACCGAAUAGGGGAGCCGAAGGGAAACCGAGUCUUAACUGGGCGUUAAGUUGCAGGGUAUAGACCCGAAACCCGGUGAUCUAGCCAUGGGCAGGUUGAAGGUUGGGUAACACUAACUGGAGGACCGAACCGACUAAUGUUGAAAAAUUAGCGGAUGACUUGUGGCUGGGGGUGAAAGGCCAAUCAAACCGGGAGAUAGCUGGUUCUCCCCGAAAGCUAUUUAGGUAGCGCCUCGUGAAUUCAUCUCCGGGGGUAGAGCACUGUUUCGGCAAGGGGGUCAUCCCGACUUACCAACCCGAUGCAAACUGCGAAUACCGGAGAAUGUUAUCACGGGAGACACACGGCGGGUGCUAACGUCCGUCGUGAAGAGGGAAACAACCCAGACCGCCAGCUAAGGUCCCAAAGUCAUGGUUAAGUGGGAAACGAUGUGGGAAGGCCCAGACAGCCAGGAUGUUGGCUUAGAAGCAGCCAUCAUUUAAAGAAAGCGUAAUAGCUCACUGGUCGAGUCGGCCUGCGCGGAAGAUGUAACGGGGCUAAACCAUGCACCGAAGCUGCGGCAGCGACACUGUGUGUUGUUGGGUAGGGGAGCGUUCUGUAAGCCUGUGAAGGUGUGCUGUGAGGCAUGCUGGAGGUAUCAGAAGUGCGAAUGCUGACAUAAGUAACGAUAAAGCGGGUGAAAAGCCCGCUCGCCGGAAGACCAAGGGUUCCUGUCCAACGUUAAUCGGGGCAGGGUGAGUCGACCCCUAAGGCGAGGCCGAAAGGCGUAGUCGAUGGGAAACAGGUUAAUAUUCCUGUACUUGGUGUUACUGCGAAGGGGGGACGGAGAAGGCUAUGUUGGCCGGGCGACGGUUGUCCCGGUUUAAGCGUGUAGGCUGGUUUUCCAGGCAAAUCCGGAAAAUCAAGGCUGAGGCGUGAUGACGAGGCACUACGGUGCUGAAGCAACAAAUGCCCUGCUUCCAGGAAAAGCCUCUAAGCAUCAGGUAACAUCAAAUCGUACCCCAAACCGACACAGGUGGUCAGGUAGAGAAUACCAAGGCGCUUGAGAGAACUCGGGUGAAGGAACUAGGCAAAAUGGUGCCGUAACUUCGGGAGAAGGCACGCUGAUAUGUAGGUGAAGUCCCUCGCGGAUGGAGCUGAAAUCAGUCGAAGAUACCAGCUGGCUGCAACUGUUUAUUAAAAACACAGCACUGUGCAAACACGAAAGUGGACGUAUACGGUGUGACGCCUGCCCGGUGCCGGAAGGUUAAUUGAUGGGGUCAGCGCAAGCGAAGCUCUUGAUCGAAGCCCCGGUAAACGGCGGCCGUAACUAUAACGGUCCUAAGGUAGCGAAAUUCCUUGUCGGGUAAGUUCCGACCUGCACGAAUGGCGUAAUGAUGGCCAGGCUGUCUCCACCCGAGACUCAGUGAAAUUGAACUCGCUGUGAAGAUGCAGUGUACCCGCGGCAAGACGGAAAGACCCCGUGAACCUUUACUAUAGCUUGACACUGAACAUUGAGCCUUGAUGUGUAGGAUAGGUGGGAGGCUUUGAAGUGUGGACGCCAGUCUGCAUGGAGCCGACCUUGAAAUACCACCCUUUAAUGUUUGAUGUUCUAACGUGGACCCGUGAUCCGGGUUGCGGACAGUGUCUGGUGGGUAGUUUGACUGGGGCGGUCUCCUCCUAAAGAGUAACGGAGGAGCACGAAGGUUGGCUAAUCCUGGUCGGACAUCAGGAGGUUAGUGCAAUGGCAUAAGCCAGCUUGACUGCGAGCGUGACGGCGCGAGCAGGUGCGAAAGCAGGUCAUAGUGAUCCGGUGGUUCUGAAUGGAAGGGCCAUCGCUCAACGGAUAAAAGGUACUCCGGGGAUAACAGGCUGAUACCGCCCAAGAGUUCAUAUCGACGGCGGUGUUUGGCACCUCGAUGUCGGCUCAUCACAUCCUGGGGCUGAAGUAGGUCCCAAGGGUAUGGCUGUUCGCCAUUUAAAGUGGUACGCGAGCUGGGUUUAGAACGUCGUGAGACAGUUCGGUCCCUAUCUGCCGUGGGCGCUGGAGAACUGAGGGGGGCUGCUCCUAGUACGAGAGGACCGGAGUGGACGCAUCACUGGUGUUCGGGUUGUCAUGCCAAUGGCACUGCCCGGUAGCUAAAUGCGGAAGAGAUAAGUGCUGAAAGCAUCUAAGCACGAAACUUGCCCCGAGAUGAGUUCUCCCUGACCCUUUAAGGGUCCUGAAGGAACGUUGAAGACGACGACGUUGAUAGGCCGGGUGUGUAAGCGCAGCGAUGCGUUGAGCUAACCGGUACUAAUGAACCGUGAGGCUUAACCUUACAACGCCGAAGGUGUUU